AUUGAACGCUGGCGGCAGGCCUAACACAUGCAAGUCGAGCGGAUGAGUGGAGCUUGCUCCAUGAUUCAGCGGCGGACGGGUGAGUAAUGCCUAGGAAUCUGCCUGGUAGUGGGGGACAACGUUUCGAAAGGAACGCUAAUACCGCAUGCGUCCUACGGGAGAAAGUGGGGGAUCUUCGGACCUCACGCUAUCAGAUGAGCCUAGGUCGGAUUAGCUAGUUGGUGAGGUAAAGGCUCACCAAGGCGACGAUCCGUAACUGGUCUGAGAGGAUGAUCAGUCACACUGGAACUGAGACACGGUCCAGACUCCUACGGGAGGCAGCAGUGGGGGAUAUUGGACAAUGGGCGAAAGCCUGAUCCAGCCAUGCCGCGUGUGUGAAGAAGGUCUUCGGAUUGUAAAGCACUUUAAGUUGGGAGGAAGGGCAGUAAGUUAAUACCUUGCUGUUUUGACGUUACCAACAGAAUAAGCACCGGCUAACUUCGUGCCAGCCGCCGCGGUAAAAC
rnacentral:rRNA from 1 species